rnacentral:tRNA from 4 species
CGGGAUGUAGCGCAGUUGGUAGCGCACUACGUUCGGGACGUAGGGGUCGCCAGUUCGAGUCCGGUCAUCCCGACCA